GACGAACGCUGGCGGCGUGCUUAACACAUGCAAGUCGUACGGUAAGGCCCUUUCGGGGGUACCCGAGUGGCGAACGGGUGAGUAACACGUGAGUAACCUGCCCACAACUUUGGGAUAACGCUAGGAAACUGGUGCUAAUACUGGAUAUGUGCUCCUGCUGCAUGGUGGGGGUUGGAAAGCUCCGGCGGUUGUGGAUGGACUCGCGGCCUAUCAGCUUGUUGGUGGGGUAGUGGCCUACCAAGGCGGCGACGGGUAGCCGGCCUGAGAGGGUGACCGGCCACAUUGGGACUGAGAUACGGCCCAGACUCCUACGGGAGGCAGCAGUGGGGAAUAUUGCACAAUGGGCGCAAGCCUGAUGCAGCAACGCCGCGUGCGGGAUGACGGCCUUCGGGUUGUAAACCGCUUUCAGCAGGGACGAAGCUUUUUGUGACGGUACCUGCAGAAGAAGCACCGGCUAACUACGUG
rnacentral:rRNA from 1 species